rnacentral:rRNA from 1 species
GAUGAACGCUAGCGGGAGGCUUAACACAUGCAAGUCGAGGGGUAUAGUAGCAAUACUAGAGACCGGCGCACGGGUGAGUAGCGCGUAUGCAACCUGCCCUUUACAGGAGGAUAGCCCGCUGAAAGGCGGAUUAAUACUGCAUAAUAUGGUACAAUCGCAUGGUUGAACCAUAAAAGCUGAGGCGGUAAAGGAUGGGCAUGCGUAACAUUAGCUAGUUGGCGGGGUAACGGCCCACCAAGGCUACGAUGUCUAGGGGUUCUGAGAGGAAGGUCCCCCACACUGGUACUGAGACACGGACCAGACUCCUACGGGAGGCAGCAGUGAGGAAUAUUGGUCAAUGGGCGCGAGCCUGAACCAGCCAUCCCGCGUGCAGGAAGACGGCCCUAUGGGUUGUAAACUGCUUUUGUGCAGGAAGAACGUACAGAUCGUGAUUUGUAGUGACGGUACUGCAUGAAUAAGCACCGGCUAACUCCGUGCCAGCCGCCGCCGUAAGAC